AAAGAACACCAAUCCCAGGACUUUGCUGGCCUUUUGUUCGGUAGCCACAGCAUUAGCCGCGAGUGAUCUUCUUUUCGUUCUCCCGGCCAGGAACCUGAACAUUCAAUUUAACAAGUCAAUUCUCAGGUGUAAUAUUUUACACGAGUCCUGUAAUUUACCUGCUGCUCGAUGCAUUGCUUCCAGAAGUUCUCCACAAAUGUCGCGUGGACAAGGUCGAAGCUCUGGAAGACCUCGACGGGGUAGUCGACGUUUUGGCUGCCGCAAAGCGACCCCCCAGUCUGCGAAACUGGUCGCUCUCAGGAUGUUCCGCGACGAAACGUGCUUUCUUCCUCAAGAGCUGCACCGAAGGGCCCACGAAAUACAUUCAUCUCAAUACCCAGUCUAGUUCUUCAUUUGCACCACCAGAGGGUGCGAAAUGCUAUAUUUAGUCUUCCACCGGAAACUGUAAUAACAUUGUGGCAGGAAGAAAAGAGAGAAAGUACACAGAAAUUGGUCUUUAUGGAGAUUAUAAUGGCAUCGGUACUGAAUGCUAUUUACAGUGCCUACAGCAGUGAUGCCUGUCAGUAAUGAGGUUCAUAUAUGGAUGGUUAAAACAGGAGGAAUUCAUCAAUGGGAUAGGACGAUAAUCCUCUUAACGAACAUAGACAAGCGCCCCUAGCGGCGAAACGAGUAAGCGCUGGAGAAUUCAUAUGGGAAUAUAUUGGAGGAGAAACAUUGAAAAUUAUUAAGACAUACAACCCAUAUGUAAAGGGUGUCCCAGUUUAAACGUUGUCACAUGAUAUUCCCAUUUACGUGACACGUGCUCGGUGCUGAAGAAGUUCAGUCGGGAGGCCGAAGUCGACUGAAAAAUUGUCGUGCAGCUUUUUGAAAUUCUUCAAUGCAAUUUUUUUCGAUGCGCUCGCUCAACGUCAAUCACUAGCUGGAGAAAAAGUGAAGAAAACAUUUCAACGUGUAACGCCAACCUUAUCCAUCAUCGAGGAGUGGAAUCUGAAAAGAAUUUUUCGAAAUUCUUAUACUCGAACGUCGGAAAGACUAUUUUGAAAAAGAAGCAGAAAAUUUCUCUCCACCGAGAUCAAAGCUGCUGAUGGCUCAUUGUGCUGCGCGUGGAAGGUAGAAAGUUCAAAGUGCACUGCAGCUAAGAAUGUGCGCAGCCCUUUCAGCCGUCAUUGAACUACAGUUUAGCAAGAAAGAGUAAGGCUGUGAGGCUGCAAAAAAAGGCGCAGGAAUACGUCAUUACGGAGUUUAACACUCUCCGAUGGUAGUCCACUAGACUGUAAGGGUGCAAUUACUGCUGGAACUUUUGAAACGAAUUUAAAAAGCAAUCCAAUCAGAAUGUGACUUCCGCUUGAAUAUUCAGUCUCCUCAACACUUUUCUUCUCUCUUCGACAUUCCUCCCAUGGUUAUAUCUUGGCAGUGAGAAUCUUUGAGUCAAUACUGGAUCAGCACGUUACAAUAGUUGAUAAUUUAUUUCUUGGCCACAGUUGAUAGAAGCUCCAGGAUGGUUCAAACCGCAAGUACAGG